CCGCUACGGGACUCAACGGACGUACCGAGGGAACGCCCACGACUGGUCCUGCUCCUCAGGCCGGACGCGCCUCGCUUCGGCUCGGCCAAGCCCAAGGUUCCCACUGGCCCGGACCUUUGGUCCUGCCUUGCAACGGCUUCUGAAAUCCUCUGCAGUGGCUGAAGAGUUGAUUCAGCAAGGAUGUCAUAGGAAUCACCAAGCAUAUCCCUUCUGAGUAUUUAUUGUUCACAGUGAUCUCUGUUUCCCUCUGAGAGAUAAUGGGGGCCACCUGAAGCAAGCUGGCCUGGGCGCAGGUCAGUGAGACCUGUGAGGCCUCUGUCACCAGCAUCCCUGGGGUAGGAGAACAGCCAAUCAAAGCCCACUUAAAAGACUACCAUCUCCCACCGAGCCCCUUGUGGUUCCGGAAUAACCUCGCCUCACUUGGAUUCCUCUCCAGGCUGUUGUUUUCCAGACUACACAGCUUGUCUUGGAGAGUGCUGGCGCUCACUGCUCCGCCAUUUCAGCUUCCUCACGUUCGUCGCUGCAUUAUUUAUAGAUAGAACUUUGAAGAAAAUAUUUGAAUAUGUCACGUAUGCAUUGAACAAGUACUGUUAACAGUGAACUUUGCUCUUACAGACUUGAUCAUGAGUUCCAUGAGUUUUUGCCAGAAGUCAAAGAGAAAUACCUUGAUUUGUCCCACCACGUGGAAAUGUAAAGACUUAUCAAAAUUUGGAGUUUUAGGGGCCAGGGAUUUAGCUCAGUGGUUCUCGCACCUGCCUCACAAGCACAAGGUCCUGAGUUCAAUCCCCGGUACUCAAAGAAAAAUUUUGAAGUUUUAGUACGAUACUUUGAACUCAGGGCCAAGAUUUAAUUUUUUUCUGAACAAAAAGAACCUGUUUGAUCCACUCUUCUAAAAUAGUGAAUGACUUUGGGAAUAAGAUUUUACUAUGGAUUUGAAAGUGUUUCUUAAUGCAUUUAAGUUAAUAGUAAAAGGCAAAAAGGUUCUUUUUUUUUUUUUGGUACCGGGGAUUGAACUUGGGUCCUUGCACUUGCGCAGCAGGCGGCAACCCCACUGAGCUAAAUCCCUGGGCCCAAAAUGGUUCUUAUAUGCAAAAUUGUAUUGUGGUAAAGUAAUUUUUACUUUACUAAUACUGAGUAACAAGUCAUGUUAAGCUGCUUUAUGUACUUCACAUGAUGUCAAAAGUCUAAACCAAAGAAAGAUCUCUAGCCACGCACAGUGGUGCAUCCCUUUAACUCAGCUGCUUGGGAGGCUGAGGCAGGAAGAUCAUAACUUGGUAGCCAGUUGGGCACCUUAGUGAGACUCUCAAAAUCAAAACCAGCCCGGUGGUCAGUCUGAAUAGGAAAAGGAGGAAGUUGAGGGGGACAAGGAAGAGCAGCAGGAGGAGGGGAAGAAGCAGAAGAUCAUCUCUGUACCAGUACAAAUAUCCAGUGAGAUCAUACUUGGAGCUCAAAAUACAGCUGAAGCAGUGUUUUUUUGGAGCUUGUAUUCUGAAGGGAAGUUUAUACCCUGCAAAAUCUACUUAACUGUGCAGUGGAGAAGGUUCCCCAUAAUCUUCAACUCAGAGUGAUUAAUAUGCAGUGGAGUGAUAAGGUAAAACAAAUAUCACGAGUAGAAUCUAAUAGGAUCUCAUAAAUGCCUUGUAUGUGAUGGGUACCCACAAUUAAAAUAGCAUGCUUAUGUACAGAUAUCAGUACUGGUAAUACCUAUCUUUGUGAAAAGACAUUUUAAAAAAUGAAAUACAUAAUAUCUCAUUACAGAUGACCAUUAAUAGAUAAAAAUUUUCAGUUGAUUAUGAUGACAACUAACUUUGAUCCCCAAUUAAGGAAAAUGUUAUCGCACCCAAAAGAAUUCCAUUCUUGGGCCGGGGAUUUAGCUCAGUGGUUUUGCCGCCUGCUGUGCAAACACAAGGACCAAGAAUUCCAUUCUUUUCAUUGGAAAAACUGUG
rnacentral:lncRNA from 1 species